AAGUAGCCGUGAUUUGCGAAAGCGAUAGUAGCGGCAUCCUUUUUUAAUUUUUUGAGAAAAAAUUAAAAAAGAUAUAGCGGAUAGCGCGGUCCCGA
rnacentral:sRNA from 1 species